GGUCGCGUGGCCGAGUGGUUAGGCAGAGGUCUGCAAAACCUUUUACGGCGGUUCGAAUCCGUUCGCGACCUCAA
rnacentral:tRNA from 1 species